rnacentral:lncRNA from 1 species
UCGGGGGCUGCCCUGGGCCCGAGGAGGAGUGAGCGGGCUUCUUGAGGCGCAGGAGGUGCUGCAGGUGGACCUGGGGAAGCGGGACAGGUCCUGACACGCCUCCUGGUGAGGCCACGGCCGUGGGUAGCGUUUCCCCAUGCCGUAGGCUGACUUCGGGUCUGGGACCCACCUCCACCGGGGCCUCCGAAUCCUGUCCAGCCAACUGCGAAUUGCCGGCGUCCACUGGAUAGACAGUAGACAUUUCCGUAAUACGUGAGUUAAAACACACAAGACCGACCUGUUUUCAUUCGUCUGUAACCUACAGUCUAAAGUAGAAACUCGUGAUCCUGAAGGGACGGCCUCUCGUUGGCGGUCCUACUUCCCUCCCAGCCCCACCAGCCCAGCCAAGCUGGUGCCGAGUCCUUUACAUAUGGAGUGGUGGAGCCACCACUGUACCUUCUGGAGGAGACGAGCAGUGGUUCCCUCCUCGGGAGGCACCCCGCUCCACCGUUUUCUGCAGUAAUGGAAACACACAGUAGUGAAGGAUUGAAACUCGGAGUAAGCUACUGAGCAAGACAGGCCCCAUAAUUUCACUUACCUGGCUGUCACGUGGUCUUUUUUUUUUUUUUUUUCAACGUUUAUUUUAUUUUUGGGACAGAGAGAGACAGAGCAUGAACGGGGGAGGGGCAGAGAGAGAGGGAGACACAGAAUCGGAAACAGGCUCCAGGCUCCGAGCCAUCAGCCCAGAGCCUGACGCGGGGCUCGAACUCACGGACCGUGAGAUCGUGACCUGGCUGAAGUCGGACGCUUAACCGACUGCGCCACCCAGGCGCCCCUGUCACGUGGUCUUAAGGGGGUCUGGUGCUGAGCCCAUUGUGUAGGCAGUUUCUAUGUGUGUCCUUUGGAAAUGGACAUCGAAAUGAGCUCUUCCCCUCUCUCUCUCCCUUUUCACUUUGACCAGUAUUCAGUGCCCAACCACCGUGAGCUGAAUACUGUCCUCAUGUGCCAGCGUUGUGAGGCGUGGCCCUUUCCCAACACAACCUCACUGAUGAGGCACUUAUGCCCAGUCUUUAGGCCAAGGCUGGGCUGCAGAGUUGCAGACUAUUAUCUGACCAUCAGGAGCACAAACGAUUAGAAUGCAGUCCGAGUACUGGGAGGGCAGAGUGAGAGUCAAGGACCAGCACAGGACACGGAAGUGCUUGUACACCUUAAGGGAGACUAGCAAGUGUCCCAGUGAAAAGGGAGAUACGGCAGUACAGGGAAUGUAAGAGAGGAAGAUGCCCUUGUCAUGUGAUAGGGAUGAUCAAUCAACAGAUCAUUUUGAGCACUUGGGAUCACAUACUCAUGUUAGGUGCUGUGCUAGAUUCUGUGUAUGGAGAAAUAAGUAAGGUGGUCAUAUUUUUAAAAUAUCAACAUGGGUCAUUGCAAUGUAUGUUACCUAAAAGUUAAAUUAAAACAAUAUAAAAAGGUAUUUAUAGGCAAACAGGAAUGUGCCUAAGAGGUCAGGGAGAUCCAAUGUUUGAUACCAGAUUCAUUACAAUAAUAUAACCACAUUGUGUUUGUAGAUAUAAAUUGUAGUUACCACCCUUUAAGAGUCUAAAUUUCAGCAUGAAAAUGUUAAAAAUGAUACAGGAAUAUGGGUGUCACGGUGUAAACCCCGAGUGGUUUUCAAAUGAAUCGUAGAAGUAGAAAAUGUUAAGUGUUCAGAAGGCAAAAUCACUGUUACAUAGAAUCAUCCAGAAAGACUUUAUAGAGAGCCAGGGCUUGACCUGUGGAAGAGAGAUGACUGCCAUCUUAUAGGGACUUACCAUAUGUCAAGCAUUGUGCGAGGCUCUUCCAUCUAAACCACCUUUGUUCUUUAUGACCCCUGAGAAGCAGGUUUUUGUCUUACAUCUCCAUUUUAUAGAUGAGGAACCUGACUUAGAGAUGGCUACUUGCCCUGAGUCACACACCUCAGAAGCCGUGGAAUUAGGGCUCAAACAGCUUGGGCAGGCUUCAGAGCCCAUGCUCUUUACCAUAAAUAGCACAAACAGAGGCACAGAGGUGAUGUGCCAGACACCCCCAGUGGCUCCACUACGACCUCAUAGUGACUCAGACCAGGAAUGACACAUGAAACGUUGGCAGCCUUGUGUAGCCAUCAGCCUGACCAAUUACAAAAAGUCACCCCAGGGGCGCCUGGGUGGCGCAGUCGGUUAAGCGUCCGACUUCAGCCAGGUCACGAUCUCGCGGUCCGGGAGUUCGAGCCCCGCGUCGGGCUCUGGGCUGAUGGCUCAGAGCCUGGAGCUUGUUUCCGAUUCUGUGUCUCCCUCUCUCUCUGCCCCUCCCCCGUUCAUGCUCUGUCUCUCUCUGUCCCAAAAAUAAAUAAACGUUGAAAAAAAAAAAAUUUUAAAAAAACAAAAAGUCACCCCAAAUUCCUAUCCUAAGGGGGUUCAAUGGGGAAUGGUCUCAUAAUGGAUCUGGGGUGAAGGAUGAGUGGUAGUGUAAGGCCGGCAGGUGGAGGGUUGGGCAAUCAGAUGAGAACAGAGUUUCAGAACAAAAGGUUGGAAGGCAGAGAUGCUGUAUGUGCUGAUAGAGGCGGAGAGGGCCCGGACCGAGAAACUGCAGAAAGAGAACAGACUCCUGACCCUGCGGUGUGGGAGUGUCCCCAGAGAGGGCGGCUGGGACACUGAGCCGUCCAGCGGAGAUGUGCCUGUGCAGCGCCUCACCAAGGAGCGGGUCUCUUCCCCCUCCCAGUCCCAGAUUCGAGACUCAGAGUGGCUCACGUGGAAUCCACGGGACAUGUGUGCCUUUUGUUUCUAUGAGAAGAUUUUAUGCUCUUAUUAAAUUCUCCAUCACAGGGAUGCAGUGGUUUCCCAUGGAGGACAUGGCCCUGGAGUAGCCCUGCCUCUUAGCAGGUUUUCUCUUUCUGGGGGGACAUGCCCUUGGCCUUGACCAAAACACUUCGGUUUUUUGGUUCAGUCAGUAAGUGAGUAGCUAUGUUCUGACACUGCUUACGUGCCAGUCUACCUCUGCCUUUUUAUCUUCCAGAUUGUCCUGGGCUAAAAUGUCUACAGACCCCAGGAUUGCUACAGGUCAGCUGUCCCCACUGGAGAAGAAAAUCUUGGUAAGUAAUCUUCACGUCAUAUGGUUUGGAACUACUAGGAGAAGGAGCCUUGGGUUUAAAACCCUGCCCAGGUGACCCCUGUCUACACUGGCAGAUGUGUUUCACUAUAUCUAUGCUUGCAAAACAAAACACUAUGUUGAAAGCACCCAAUACUAUAUUUUUAAAGCACUAGUUAUUGAUUUUGGUGGGGUAAUUUAACUUUCAGAGCUCAUGGGUUCACCUAGGAGUGAUGGAGUAGAAAUCACAAUUAUUACACCCACAUAUCUUUUCUGGCUGUCAGUAAUGAGGGUAUGCUCCUGUUUAAAUGUGUUCAGAGUGAAAAGAUGGUCCCAUUAUGAAAUCCUCUACCUCACUUUGACAGAGUCUGGGUGGUGUGCAUACAACAGCGACAAGACAACUGAUAACUCAGAAAUACCAGGAGGAGUACGAGACACUGUGUAGGGAGCAGGCUCUUUCUCAUGACUACUGGCUUGCCAAAACAG